GAGAGCAGGGGUGAGAGGCCUGGCGGGCCAGCAGUCCGCAGGCCAGUGAUCCCCGCGGCGGCGAGUGCAGGGAGAGACAGAUCACAGGCUUCUCCGUGGGGCCCUCCAGACCCUGUGGCCUCCGGGAUGUCAGUGAGCGGGGAGGCCGGCCGACAGGCUGAGGAUUGAGUCCCAGACAGUUCCAGACCCCUCGCUGUGGCUGCCCACUGGCCAGGCCUUAAAGCAGCAGUAAAUCUCGCCCCAACACCACCUCCACAUGGGCUGCCGUCCGUGGAGGCCUCGGCAACUGGAGUAUACGGACGCAGCCUUUAAGCACAAGAAAACUACUUUUGCUGGUAAUUCUUCCUUGUCCAGAUCUGCAUGCAGUUCAUUGCUCCAGUAAAGCGGCUGAAGGCAGCACAAAAGAAUCUGACAAACAUUCCAACCAGGACAUAUCAAAGAAAGAAGGAUAAAUGCCAGAAAUGUCAAGUGACUGCAGAGGAGAUACCCUAUGGAAAUUAAAGGUCAAAUGACUGACUCUGAAUAUCAAACAAAAAUUCAUGUGCUUUUUCAUGUUGAG